GAAGGUUCAGCUAGAUGAGCUGGUAUAUUAUAGGUUUUAGGUAUAUAUAUAGUAAUGUAUGUAGCCGAGGAAUACUAAAACACCGAAAGAGGUUUUUAAU
rnacentral:rRNA from 1 species